CCGACCGGUGUCGGUGUCGGCUGAGCGCGUUCGUCACUUGUCUCUGCGCCAACGACGAUGACCGCGAGUCAUGCAGCACAUGCAGCUUUCGUCUUGACAACCACUGGACAACGUAGUCCGUGAACCGGUGUCCCGUAGCGACUUCGUCGUGACUGCCUCAGAGAACGUCUAGUACUGCCUUUGCUUGAUUGACGGACGUCGAGGGCGAAACAGAGCGAAGGUGCUGCAAUGCGCUGCCUUGCCACGACAAGUGCCCGUGCUGCAAGUACAGUCAUAACCCCUGUGGAGGGGGAACCGACCCCAUGGAGAACGCAGGGGCUGACGAGCUGCGUUUAAGUAUGCUUUGCUGGUGCUUUUAGCUAUUUCAAAAGACACAAGAAGUGGCCCGACAUCACUUGGCCAUAGGCUGCUCUUCCUCAUCUCAAUGAGCAUAGCUCUUGGAACGCUGGCUCCGCCAAAAAACUAGCCAUAAAGUUCAAAGUAAAGUUUUUAAACCAUG